rnacentral:rRNA from 1 species
GCAUAUCAAUAAGCGGAGGAAAAGAAACCAACAGGGAUUGCCUCAGUAACGGCGAGUGAAGCGGCAAGAGCUCAAAUUUGAAAGCUGGCCCCCUCGGGGUCCGCGUUGUAAUUUGCAGAGGAUGCUUCGGGUGCAGCCCCCGUCUAAGUGCCCUGGAACGGGCCGUCAUAGAGGGUGAGAAUCCCGUCUGGGACGGGGUGUCUGCGUCCGUGUGAAGCUCCUUCGACGAGUCGAGUUGUUUGGGAAUGCAGCUCUAAAUGGGUGGUAAAUUUCAUCUAAAGCUAAAUACUGGCCGGAGACCGAUAGCGCACAAGUAGAGUGAUCGAAAGAUGAAAAGCACUUUGAAAAGAGAGUUAAACAGCACGUGAAAUUGUUGAAAGGGAAGCGUUUGCGACCAGACUCGCCCGCAGGGUUCAGCCGGCAUUCGUGCCGGUGUACUUCCCUGUGGGCGGGCCAGCGUCGGUUUGGGCGGCCGGUCAAAGGCCCUCGGAAUGUAUCACCUCUCGGGGUGUCUUAUAGCCGAGGGUGCAAUGCGGCCUGCCCGGACCGAGGAACGCGCUUCGGCUCGGACGCUGGCGUAAUGGUCGUAAAUGACCCGUCUUGAAACACGGACCAAGGAGUCUAACAUCUACGCGAGUGUUCGGGUGUCAAACCCGUACGCGCAGUGAAAGCGAACGGAGGUGGGAGCCCCCUCGUGGGGCGCACCAUCGACCGAUCCUGAUGUCUUCGGAUGGAUUUGAGUACGAGCGUAGCUGUGGGGACCCGAAAGAUGGUGAACUAUGCCUGAAUAGGGCGAAGCCAGAGGAAACUCUGGUGGAGGCUCGCAGCGGUUCUGACGUGCAAAUCGAUCGUCAAAUUUGGGUAUAGGGGCGAAAGACUAAUCGAACCAUCUAGUAGCUGGUUCCUGCCGA